rnacentral:rRNA from 1 species
AGCGAACGCUGGCGGCAGGCCUAACACAUGCAAGUCGAACGGAUCCUUCGGGAUUAGUGGCGGACGGGUGAGUAACACGUGGGAACGUGCCCUUUGGUUCGGAACAACUCAGGGAAACUUGAGCUAAUACCGGAUGUGCCCUUCGGGGGAAAGAUUUAUCGCCAUUGGAGCGGCCCGCGUCUGAUUAGCUAGUUGGUGAGGUAACGGCCCACCAAGGCGACGAUCAGUAGCUGGUCUGAGAGGAUGAUCAGCCACACUGGGACUGAGACACGGCCCAGACUCCUACGGGAAGCAGCAGUGGGGAAUCUUGCGCAAUGGGCGAAAGCCUGACGCAGCCAUGCCGCGUGAAUGAUGAGGGUCUUAGGAUUGUAAAAUUCUUUCAGCGGGGACGAUAAUGACGGUACCCGCAGAAGAAGCUCCGGCUAACUUCGUG